rnacentral:rRNA from 1 species
GCAGGCUGCAACCCGCCUGCAUGAAGUUGGAAUCGCUAGUAAUCGCGGAUCAGCAUGCCGCGGUGAAUACGUUCCCGGGCCUUGUACACACCGCCCGUCACACCAUGAGAGUCGGGACACCCGAAGUCCGUAGUCUAACCGCGAAGGGGGACGCGGCCGAAGGUGGAUUCGAUAAUUGGGGUGAAGUCGUAACAAGGUAAC